GAUGAACGCUGGCGGCGUGCCUAAUACAUGCAAGUCGAGCGAACAGACGAGGAGCUUGCUCCUCUGACGUUAGCGGCGGACGGGUGAGUAACACGUGGAUAACCUACCUAUAAGACUGGGAUAACUUCGGGAAACCGGAGCUAAUACCGGAUAAUAUAUUGAACCGCAUGGUUCAAUAGUGAAAGACGGUUUUGCUGUCACUUAUAGAUGGAUCCGCGCCGCAUUAGCUAGUUGGUAAGGUAACGGCUUACCAAGGCAACGAUGCGUAGCCGACCUGAGAGGGUGAUCGGCCACACGGGAACUGAGACACGGUCAAGACUCCUACGGGAGGCAGCAGUAGGGAAUCUUCCGCAAUGGGCGAAAGCCUGACGGAGCAACGCCGAGUGAGUGAUGAAGGUCUUCGGAGCGUAAAACUCUGUUAUUAGGGAAGAACAAAUGUGUAAGUAACUAUGCACGUCUUGACGGUACCUAAUCAGAAAGCCACGGCUAACUACGUG
rnacentral:rRNA from 1 species